CUUCUGCGAGGUUUGCUCCCAUAUUGUUGCAGUUAAAACGCCGUAGUCUGAAUUGGCCAGCAAUGGUCGUACGUAUUUUACGUUCACUGUGAACAAAUCAGGACGCUUAGAGUAUGGCCACAUGAAUGACUCAGCGCAGUAUGAAGUCUUUGUUUUCUUCCGAAAACAAGCUCAAUGAGAGCCAUCGGGGGUAGAUCUAUCUCAUGACGAGUGGUGGAAUACUUUGACUCAUGAGAGAGAAGCUGAGGCGAAGGCGUCUACCUAGAGGGUUUCUGUCGAUCAAGGGCGAGAGUAGGAGUAUCCAACAGGAUUAGAGACCCUGGUAGUUCCUACCUUAAACGAUGCCGACAGGAGUUUGUCAUUUGUUAAUGGCAGAAUCUUUGGAGAAAUCAUAGUUCUUGGGCUCUGGGGGAACUACGACCGCAAGGCUGAAACUUGAAGGAAUUGACGGAAGGGCACACCAGGGGUGGAGCCUGUGGCUUAAUUUGAAUCAACACGGGGAAACUUACCAGGACCAGAUGUUUUUUAUGACUGACAGGCUUCGGGUCUUUCAGGAUAUUGUUUUUGGUGGUGCAUGGCCGUUGGUGGUGCGUGGGUUGACCUGUCUAGCGUUGAUUCAGCUAACGAGCGAGAUUAUCGCCAAUUAUUUACUUUGCCGAAGUCCUUCGGUUAAAGUUCUAAUUGGGACUCCCUGCGAUUUUAGCAGGUGGAAGAGGGUAGCAAUAACAGGUCCGUGAUGCCCUUUAGAUGCUCUGGGCUGCACGCGUGCUACAAUGUUAGGAUCAAUAGGACUGCGAGCCUGAGAGGGUGCGCUACUCUUAUAAUCCCUAACGUAGUUGGGAUUGACGUUUGUAAUCAGCGUCAUGAACCAGGAAUCCCUUGUAAAUGUGUGUCAACAACGCACGUUGAAUACGUCCCUGCCCUUUGUACACACCGCCCGUCGCUCCUACCGAUUGGAUGACUCGGUGAAAUCACCGGAUGCUUACGAGCAGAAAGUGAUUAAAUCACGUUAUCUAGAGGAAGGAGAAGUCGUAACAAGGUAACGGUAGGUGAACCUGCCGUUGGAUCAGUU
rnacentral:ncRNA from 1 species